UACAGAGGCCUCAAGCGUUGUUCGGAUUCAUUGGGCGUAAAGGGUGCGUAGGUGGCGCGGUAAGUCGGGUGUGAAAUCUCGGAGCUUAACUCCGAAAUUGCAUUCGAUACUGCCGUGCUCGAGGACUGGAGAGGAGACUGGAAUUCAUGGUGUAGCAGUGAAAUGCGUAGAGAUCAUGAGGAAGACCAGUGGCGAAGGCGGGUCUCUGGACAGUUCCUGACACUGAGGCACGAAGGCCAGGGGAGCAAACGGG
rnacentral:rRNA from 1 species